rnacentral:rRNA from 1 species
GACGAACGCUGGCGGCGUGCUUAGCACAUGCGAGUCGAACGGACCCUUUGGGGUUAGUGGCGAACGGGUGAGUAACACGUGGGUGAUCUGCCCUGCACUUUGGGAUAAGCCUGGGAAACUGGGUCUAAUACCGGAUAGGACUACGCACUGCAUGGUGUGUGGUGGAAAGCUUUUGCGGUGUGGGAUGGGCCCGCGGCCUAUCAGCUUGUUGGUGGGGUGAUGGCCUACCAAGGCGACGACGGGUAGCCGGCCUGAGAGGGUGACCGGCCACACUGGGACUGAGAUACGGCCCAGACUCCUACGGGAGGCAGCAGUGGGGAAUAUUGCACAAUGGGCGCAAGCCUGAUGCAGCGACGCCGCGUGAGGGAUGACGGCCUUCGGGUUGUAAACCUCUUUCGCCAGGGACGAAGCGCAAGUGACGGUACCUGGAGAAGAAGGACCGGCCAACUACGUGCCAGCAGCCGCGGUAAUACGUAGGGUCCGAGCGUUGUCCGGAAUUACUGGGCGUAAAGAGCUCGUAGGUGGUUUGUCGCGUUGUUCGUGAAAACUCACAGCUUAACUGUGGGCGUGCGGGCGAUACGGGCAGACUGGAGUACUGCAGGGGAGACUGGAAUUCCUGGUGUAGCGGUGGAAUGCGCAGAUAUCAGGAGGAACACCGGUGGCGAAGGCGGGUCUCUGGGCAGUAACUGACGCUGAGGAGCGAAAGCGUGGGGAGCGAACAGGAUUAGAUACCCUGGUAGUCCACGCCGUAAACGGUGGGUACUAGGUGUGGGUUUCCUUCCUUGGGAUCCGUGCCGUAGCUAACGCAUUAAGUACCCCGCCUGGGGAGUACGGCCGCAAGGCUAAAACUCAAAGGAAUUGACGGGGGCCCGCACAAGCGGCGGAGCAUGUGGAUUAAUUCGAUGCAACGCGAAGAACCUUACCUGGGUUUGACAUGCACAGGACGCCGGCAGAGAUGUCGGUUCCCUUGUGGCCUGUGUGCAGGUGGUGCAUGGCUGUCGUCAGCUCGUGUCGUGAGAUGUUGGGUUAAGUCCCGCAACGAGCGCAACCCUUGUCUCAUGUUGCCAGCACGUUAUGGUGGGGACUCGUGAGAGACUGCCGGGGUCAACUCGGAGGAAGGUGGGGAUGACGUCAAGUCAUCAUGCCCCUUAUGUCCAGGGCUUCACACAUGCUACAAUGGCCGGUACAAAGGGCUGCGAUGCCGUGAGGUGGAGCGAAUCCUUUCAAAGCCGGUCUCAGUUCGGAUCGGGGUCUGCAACUCGACCCCGUGAAGUCGGAGUCGCUAGUAAUCGCAGAUCAGCAACGCUGCGGUGAAUACGUUCCCGGGCCU